rnacentral:lncRNA from 10 species
GCUAAUUACUUAGUGGCAAGCUGUAAUUCCAAAACCACAAAAGAAGAAGGCAAAAGUUCCAUGCUAUAAUCAGAAAUAUGUGGCACAUUUUGAACAAAGGAAAUAUAUACCCAACAAAGUGUUAAAAUGGAGCUGCCAACCAGACAAACCCUAGAAAUAUGUAGCCACUUACAGGCAGAACACAACUACAUGUGUUCCCAAUGUGG